GUCAAUAUAUACCUCCAAAGCAGUGUGAAACACCCUUGAUGCUCUAUCCAGCUGAGCCUGAUCAUCUUUUCCAUCUGGCAAGCUUCUGAAAUAGUGAGCUUUCUCAAGGGCAUCAAAAAACUGCCCAAAGAGCUCAUCCUUGGAUAUACCUGCAAAGCAUGAUAAACAGCAUCAGUUGAUUAACAUAAAGCAGGACAGAAUGUAGGGCAAAUC
rnacentral:lncRNA from 1 species